AUGGGAGACAGAACUCGUCCCAUCGCAUCGGCCAGUGCGCUCAUCGCACCCUUCCAGGCUGAGGCGCUACCCGGUGCUCCCAGAGCAGCCAGGGCUCAGCACUUCUCCCUGGCUGCUUGCGAUGUGGUAGGCUUCGACCUGGACCACAUUCUGUGUUGCUACAACCUGCCCGAGAGCGCCCCGCUCAUUUAUAAUAGCUUUGCUCAGUUCCUAGUUAAGGAGAGAGGGUAUGAUAAGGAAUUGCUCAAUGUGACCCCAGAGGAUUGGGAUUUCUGUUGCAAGGGUUUAGCACUGGAUCUAGAAGAUGGGAACUUCAUUAAACUUGCAGAUAAUGGCACUGUGCUCAGGGCAAGCCAUGGCACCAAGAUGAUGACUGCUGAAGCACUGUCAGAGGCAUAUAGCAAGGAGGAGUGGAAACACUUUGUAUCGGACACGGGAAUGGGUUGCCACUCAGGAAAGCACCACCCAGGAAAGUACUAUUUUUAUGAUAACUAUUUUGACCUGCCAGGAGUUCUUCUAUGAGCCAGGGUGGUGGACUUACUAACAAAGAACAAUGGUCAAAAAACAUUUGAUUUUUGGAAGGAUAUUGUUGCUGGUAUACAACAUAAUUAUAAACUGUCAGCUUUUAAGGAAAAACUGUGGAAUGUAUUUUCCAGAAAUAAGAAGAGAUCCAGGCAGAUAUUUACACAGAUCUCCUGAAUCUAUCAACAAGUGGCUUCAACAGCUAAAGAAUACAGGCGAAAUUCUUCUGUUAAUUACCAGUUCUCACGGCGAUUACUGUAGACUACUCUGUGAAUAUAUCCUGGGGGACAAUUUUGCAGACCUUUUUGACGUUGUGAUUACAAAUGCAUUGAAGCCUGGCUUCUUCUCCCAUCUACCAAGUCAGAGGCCUUUCCAAACACUUGAGAAUGAUGAGGAGCAGGAGGCACUGCCAUCUCUGGAUAAACCUGGCUGGUACUCCCCAGGGAACACUGUCCACCUCUAUGAACUUCUGAAGAAAAUGACUGGCAACCCUGAACCCAAGGUUGUUUAUUUUGGUGACAGAUGCAUUCAGAUAUUUUCCCAGCCCAUCACUAUAAUCAUUGGGAGACAAUCGUCAUACUGGAAGAACUCAGAGGGGACGAAGUUGUGAGGAGUCAGAGGCCUGAGGAGUCAGAGCCUCUAGAGAAGAAAGGAAAAUAUGAGGGACCAAAGAUAAAACCUCUAAAUAUCUCAUCUAAAAAAUGGGGCUCAUUUUUUACUGAUUCAGUUUCGGGACUGGAAAACACAGAAGAUUCCUUGGUUUUCACAUGGUCUUUUAAGAGUCAGUACUUACAGUACCAUUGCAAUUCCAAGUAUUGAAGCAAUUGCAAAAUUACCUUUGGACCACAAAUUUACAAGAUUCUCUUCAAGCUAUUCAAAACCAGCUGGCUACUAUCCAAAUCCUCCCUUGAUCUUAUCAAAUGAUAAGAUGCUGAAAAUCAAAUAA